GAGAGAGGCUCGCAAGCAAUAAGAACUGCUAAUUCUUACCGCCCUGGUUGAACCCCAGGGCUCACUCG
rnacentral:tRNA from 1 species